rnacentral:tRNA from 1 species
GACAGUGUAGCAUAGCGGUAAGGAGCAGGGCUUGUAACCUAAAGGUUGCCGGUUCGAUUCCCCCGCACUGCUG